AUGGACGCCGCCGCAGGGGGAGGAGAGGGAGAAGUAUUUGUCAACUACGCCCAAAUCGAGGAGUACUUCAACAACAUGGCACUGGAGGGCCCGUCCGCGCAGGACCGCAUGGACGGCAUCGUCUCCCAAAUCAUCUCCCUCCUCCCCGCGCCCUUCCUCCCCGCGCCCGACGCCGACGACUCCUCCGACUCCGACGACGACCACUUCUCCCUCACCUCCUCCGACUCCGAGGACACCGCCGCCGCCGCCGUCGACGCCGACCGGCCCGCCGUGCAGGAUGGUGACGGCCAGGACCACAUCAGCCGCCUCCCGGACGACCUGCUCUGCAACAUCAUCUCCCGCCUCCCCACCAAGGAAGCCGCGCGCACCAUGGUACUCUCCACCCGCUGGCGCUGCGUGUGGGCGGCGACCCCGCUCCUCGUCGACGACGCCCACCUCAGGGCCGCCGACGGGCCCCGCGAUUUCCACGCCGUGCGCGCCGUCUCUCGCUGCGUGGCCGCUCACCCCGGCCCCGUCCGUGCCGUGCGCUUCAUCCGCACCUCCUUCCACCGGCAGGAGUACGCGCUCGAGCAGCUGAUCGCCAGCCUCGCCGCCAAGAAGAUCCAGGACCUCAUCCUCUUCAACCGCCCCUGGCCGCUCGACAUGCCGCUCCCCGACAACAUCCUCAGCUGUGCCUCCCUCACCCGCCUCUACAUCGGCGUCUGGCGCUGGCGCUUCCCAGACACCACCACCCUCCGCCCCGCCUUCCCCAACCUCGAAGAGCUCGGCCUUUUCCACUCCAUCAUCGAGGACAGAGAAGUCGAUGCCUUGCUCGCGCACUGCCCCAAGCUGAAAAUCCUCUCCUUUGCCAUCGCGUACAUUAGCCGUUCACGCCUCCGCAUCAAGUCCAGCAGCCUCCGCGUCGUGAUGGAAUGGGGAUGCAGCUUCGAUGAAAUCAUUGUCGAGGAUGCCCCCUGCCUGGAGCGCCUGCUCUUCCAAAGCAUUUCCGACCGGAGGCCCGUCAAGAUUGUCCACGCCCCUAGGCUGGAGGUGCUCGGCUACUUGGACCUUGAACUCCACGCUCUCGAGAUUGGUGGCAUUGUCAUCAGGGCUGGGAUGAGUGUGAGAGCUAGCGCCAUGCUGCCAAGUUUGAAGAUAUUAGCUGUCAAGGUGCGACUUUCGCACGACAUGGAGGUCAAGAUGCUGCACACCCUGCUCAGAUGCUUUCCUCGCCUCGAGACACUUCACAUCAUGGUAUGCCAUAUCGAUAUCUGUUCAUCUCUGCACUUGUUUAUCAAUUGCCAUUCAAGACGAUAA
rnacentral:rRNA from 1 species